rnacentral:misc_RNA from 1 species
UUCAAACGCGGUCGAUUUGCCGCCAGUCGAAACAUCCCCACCCCAGUACGAAAGUUGAUGGGCGAAACUGCGGGUUGCGGGGCAGUCGAUUGUGGAAGCUUGUUGCGUGAAGAUGCAUAAAUUGACGUUUCUGAUACGUAUCCUGUCAAUUACGUAUUACAGAUUUGUACUGCUAUCCCGUUACCUUCAUAUGCUACUACGAGGCAUCAGAUUGGCACGAAAGGAAUAUAAAUUCGAAAUAUGGACGAAAUAUGCAACGAAAUAUAGAACGACAUAUCGACGAAAUAUAACAUAGACGAAAAUAUGGCGAUUCUCGAUUAAUUUGAUGGCUUCCGGUGAUUUG